ACUGGGUGUGGUGGUGCACACCUAUAAUCCCAGCAGCUUGGGAGGCUGUGGCAGGAGGUUCAUUACUUCAAAGAGAGCCUUGGCAAAAGCAAGGUGCUAAGCAACUCAGUGAGACCCUGUCUCUA
rnacentral:sRNA from 1 species